rfam:Oryza sativa (indica cultivar-group) chromosome 1, whole genome shotgun sequence.
UCUGGUUUCCGUGUCUAACAUUUAACCGUCCGUCUUAUUUAAAAAAAUUAUAAAAAAAAAUAAAAAGACAAGUCACAUAUAAAAUAUUAAUCAUGUUUUAUCAUCUAACAACAAUGAAAAUACGAAUUAUAAAAAAAUUUCAUAUAAAACGGACAGUUAAAGUUGGACACGGAAACCCAAUAUUUAACUUUUU